rnacentral:rRNA from 1 species
AUGGAGGUACAGCUCGAGGGGGAGGAAGAUGACUGGAAUUAUGACUCAUCCGACGAGGACUACAAGUAUGAUGAAGAUUCAGAUGGGCAGAUAGUGAAGAGGAAGAGCAAGUACCCAAGAUACAACAAUGACACUGAAAUACCACAUUUCAGUUUGUCGAUGGUGUUCAGAAGCAAGAACCAACUUUGCAAAGCUUUGAGAAGAUAUGGAAUAGUCACAAAAAGGAGUAUUGAGUUUUUAAAAUCAGAGUCAGAUAGAGUGAGGGCCGAGUGUGGAUGGCCUGGUUGUCCUUGGCUAUUAUAUGCAGCAAAAAAAAAUAGAACUUCAAGAAUGCAAGUGGUUACCUUCAAUGAUGAACAUCAUUGUGCUCAGAAUAGGCAAAACAAACUUGUGACUGCUAAAGUGAUUGCACAAAUAUAUGAACACUUCAUACUAGCUAACCCAAUG